ACGGAAGGCAGCAGUGGGGAAUAUUGGACAAUGGGGGAAACCCUGAUCCAGCGACGCCGCGUGAGUGAAGAAGUAUUUCGGUAUGUAAAGCUCUAUCAGCAAGGAAGAAAAUGACGGUACUUGACUAAGAAGCUCCGGCUAAAUACGUGCCAGCAGCCGCGGUAAUACGUAUGGAGCAAGCGUUAUCCGGAUUUACUGGGUGUAAAGGGAGCGUAGACGGCAAAGCAAGUCUGAAGUGAAAUGCGGGGGCUUAACCCCUGAACUGCUUUGGAAACUGUUUAGCUAGAGUGCAGGAGAGGUAAGCGGAAUUCCUAGUGUAGCGGUGAAAUGCGUAGAUAUUGGGAGGAACACCAGUGGCGAAGGCGAUUUACUGGACGAUUACUGACGCUGAGACACGAAAGUGUGGGGAGCAAACAGGAUUAGAUACCCUGGUA
rnacentral:rRNA from 1 species